GACGAACGCUGGCGGCGUGCUUAACACAUGCAAGUCGAACGAUGAAGAAGAGAAACGCGAACUUCGGUUCAAAUUUCACUUCGGAUUAGUGGCAGACGGGUGAGUAACGCGUGAGCAACCUACCUCUUACAAAGGGAUAGCCUCGGGAAACCGUGAUUAAUACCAUAUGACACAUUCAUAAGGCAUCUUAAGACUGUUAAAGCUACGGCGGUAAGAGAUGGGCUCGCGUCCCAUUAGCUAGUUGGUGAGGUAACGGCCCACCAAGGCGACGAUGGGUAACCGGCCUGAGAGGGUGAACGGUCACAUUGGAACUGAGACACGGUCCAAACUCCUACGGGAGGCAGCAGUGGGGAAUAUUGCACAAUGGAGGGAACUCUGAUGCAGCGACGCCGCGUGAGCGAUGAAGGAAUUCGUUUCGUAAAGCUCUGUUCUAUGGGAAGAAAAGGACUGUACCAUAGGAGAAAGCCCCGGCUAAAUACGUG
rnacentral:rRNA from 1 species